GCCCUCCCGGUGCCCGUGGGGGACGCGGAGCCCCGCGCCGCGGAGAGAAGGGCAGCGCGCGGGAGAAGGCAAAAAAUCCGGCGUUGUUUCCCAACUGCACCCAAAAACCGUCAGAGCCCGAAGCGGCGCGGUGCCGCCUUGGGGGGGUGGGGAGGGGUUGUUAUUAUUAUCAUUAAUUUGCUUGAAUAAAUGCGAAGGGUGCACAAAGCGCUCCGGCCAGCCCGGGCCGCGGCCAACUUUGCGGGCAGCAGUUCGCUCUGCUCUCUAUUAUCUGCACAGCCGUUGAUCUUUUUUUCCCCCGCCAUUCUCUUUCUUCUUUCCUUUUCCCCCCUUUAUUUUUCUUUGCUUUAUUAUUUUUUCCUUUCUUUUUCUUGUUUUCUUUCUUUCUUUUUUUUUUCCUUUUUCUUUUUUGCCCUUAAUUUUAUUUUUGCAAAGGCGGCGUUCUGCCUCGCAAUAAUUACCAAUCGCAGACAGCGCUAUAAAUCCCCUCAUUUUCUGUGCUGGAAAAGCAUUUGCAAAGAGCUGUGGGGUGCAGGAGGGGAAAUAAAAGACAGAAGGAGGGCGGCGGGGCUGCGGGGUGCGCGGAGCCCGGCGCUGUGCAUGGCACAGAGCUCCGCUCGCCGCCGGCUCUCUGCAGGAAACGUAAAAUCUGAUCAAGUUCAGAGGCGCAUUGAGAGCAGCGCUUCAAGCAGCGCUUUAUAACCGCGGCCCUUUCACAUCGUUCCCCCCAAUCAGCCCCCGGGAAAAGCCUUCGCCUUCUUUAUUUUAAGGGUUUGCAGGGAGCGAAAAAAAAAAAAAAAAGAGAGAGAGAGAGAAAAAAAAAAAAACCACCGCUAUAAAAUCUCCCCGAGGUCCCACCGGUGCUCGGUAACGCUCCCAUUGCCCAGGCCACGGGCCUGCUACCAGCCCAGAGUGGAGACAAGAGAACUGUGUCACCCAGAAGGACACAAGCCUGAGGGCAGGCUGGGGCACUGCCAGGGACCGACAUGCCCCACGUCCACCCUGCAAGAGCAAAGUCACCCUUUCCUACCUAACCAAGCAGCCCCCUAUGCAGGCUGGGCAGUGCUCAGAGCAGCCCUGCUGGAGGUUUGGCACUGGCUUUACCUUCCAGGCAAGAUUAUUGACCUUUCCAGUCCAGUAUUUAACAACCCCCAUUCAUCCCCACUUUCCCCUUCCCUUCCACUUCAUUCCCUUUGUUGCUCUGUAAUAGGAGAGGCAACAGGGCACAUAUUUCUGUAGAACAAAGCAUUAUCAUCCUAAUUAUAGUUUCCUGGUGUUUUCUUCACUUUUACCAUUAUAUUAAAAGCCAUUAGCUGAGAGGAACUACCUUUUUUAAUCUCUACCCUAUUGUUCUCAUCUCUCCCCGAAUCCGAGGUCUUUUUAGAGUCUAUUUUAUUCAUAAUUACAUGUGUUGGAACAACUGCUCAAAAAAGUGAGCCCAGGAAGGACUCCGUUAAUACUUCCCUAGCAGACUUGAUCCCACUGCCUCUGAAUUACGUAAUGAUAACAAUUUAAUAAAAUGUAUGUGAAAAAAAUGGCUUAUUUUCAGCAGUUCGUGUGAAUGAUGGAUGCAGCCUUACCAUGAGCAUCAGGAGCCCUACACUGAGGGAAACUUUAAAAUGCAUCAUAUUCGGUCAAUUGGCCCUUCAGGUUUUUUCAAGCUUCCCCUCCAUCACCUUUGUUAAUUACCCGCCAUUUGAACAAGGGUCUUCUCCAGCCUUGAUCCUGCCGUGAAAUCACGAUGCUAUAUUUGUCUUUCUAACAUCAAAGUCAUUUCCAUGGUCACCAACUGUGAUGUCAUAAACACAUUUUUAAUGGCUUGUUUACAGCAGGGAACAGAAGGAGAGAGUAAAUUAUGGGUGGAAGGAAGCUCUUAUCGAUGCACAACAGUCUUAGGCACAACUGUGAGGCUGGAAGAUGAAGAAAACUUGGAAUAAAAGAACGUUCUGCUGAAGUAGUUUUUGUUCUGAAGUUCAUCCCAGCUCAAAAAUCCCUUUCUAAGUUAUCACUGAACAAGAAACGUCAAUAGAUUACCAAUAUGUCAAUCAGCCCAGAGUUGUGGAAGUUAAAUCAUUAUUUAAGAAGAAACAAAGAUGUUGCUGGGUUGAACAAGGCCGAAACCAGGCUUUAGAGAAGUUGCCCCAGAAACAGGCAUGGAAAGAUCUCCUCCAUUGCCCCAUAUCCCUCUGAAGGCACAUGGAGGGCAUCCCAGGAGGAGGUUAUCAGUCAUCGGACAUCAACCACAGAUACAUCCCCCACCCCCACCCCACCAAGGCAGCAUUCACACAUCAGCAGCGCUGUCUCCUAUGCAGCGCAAACACUCCACAGCAAAAAAGCAGUGACCAAAGGCUGCAGAUGCCCUGAUGAGGCUGCAACCCGUUGGAGUCCAUGCCACAACACUGCAUCCAGCCAGCAUCGCCCACCACCGUGCUCCUGCUGAUGCACCGCACCCAUCAGUCUGCACUCUGGG
ensembl:lncRNA